rnacentral:rRNA from 1 species
UACGGGGGGGGCAAGCGUUGUUCGGAAUUACUGGGCGUAAAGGGCUCGUAGGCGGCCAACUAAGUCAGACGUGAAAUCCCUCGGCUUAACCGGGGAACUGCAUCUGAUACUGGAUGGCUUGAGUUCGGGAGAGGGAUGCGGAAUUCCAGGUGUAGCGGUGAAAUGCGUAGAUAUCUGGAGGAACACCGAUUGCGAAGGCAGCUCUCUGGGACGGUACUGACGCUGAGACGCGAAAGCGUGGGGAGCGAACAGG